rnacentral:rRNA from 1 species
AAAUUGAAGAGUUUGAUCAUGGCUCAGAUUGAACGCUGGCGGCAGGCCUAACACAUGCAAGUCGAACGGUAACAGGAAGCAGCUUGCUGCUUUGCUGACGAGUGGCGGACGGGUGAGUAAUGUCUGGGAAACUGCCUGAUGGAGGGGGAUAACUACUGGAAACGGUGGCUAAUACCGCAUAAUGUCGCAAGACCAAAGAGGGGGACCUUCGGGCCUCUUGCCAUCAGAUGUGCCCAGAUGGGAUUAGCUUGUUGGUGAGGUAACGGCUCACCAAGGCGACGAUCCCUAGCUGGUCUGAGAGGAUGACCAGCCACACUGGAACUGAGACACGGUCCAGACUCCUACGGGAGGCAGCAGUGGGGAAUAUUGCACAAUGGGCGCAAGCCUGAUGCAGCCAUGCCGCGUGUAUGAAGAAGGCCUUCGGGUUGUAAAGUACUUUCAGCGGGGAGGAAGGUGUUGUGGUUAAUAACCGCAGCAAUUGACGUUACCCGCAGAAGAAGCACCGGCUAACUCCGUGCCAGCAGCCGCGGUAAUACGGAGGGUGCAAGCGUUAAUCGGAAUUACUGGGCGUAAAGCGCACGCAGGCGGUCUGUCAAGUCGGAUGUGAAAUCCCCGGGCUCAACCUGGGAACUGCAUUCGAAACUGGCAGGCUUGAGUCUUGUAGAGGGGGGUAGAAUUCCAGGUGUAGCGGUGAAAUGCGUAGAGAUCUGGAGGAAUACCGGUGGCGAAGGCGGCCCCCUGGACAAAGACUGACGCUCAGGUGCGAAAGCGUGGGGAGCAAACAGGAUUAGAUACCCUGGUAGUCCACGCCGUAAACGAUGUCUACUUGGAGGUUGUGCCCUUGAGGCGUGGCUUCCGGAGCUAACGCGUUAAGUAGACCGCCUGGGGAGUACGGCCGCAAGGUUAAAACUCAAAUGAAUUGACGGGGGCCCGCACAAGCGGUGGAGCAUGUGGUUUAAUUCGAUGCAACGCGAAGAACCUUACCUGGUCUUGACAUCCACAGAACUUUCCAGAGAUGGAUUGGUGCCUUCGGGAACUGUGAGACAGGUGCUGCAUGGCUGUCGUCAGCUCGUGUUGUGAAAUGUUGGGUUAAGUCCCGCAACGAGCGCAACCCUUAUCCUUUGUUGCCAGCGGUCCGGCCGGGAACUCAAAGGAGACUGCCAGUGAUAAACUGGAGGAAGGUGGGGAUGACGUCAAGUCAUCAUGGCCCUUACGACCAGGGCUACACACGUGCUACAAUGGCGCAUACAAAGAGAAGCGACCUCGCGAGAGCAAGCGGACCUCAUAAAGUGCGUCGUAGUCCGGAUUGGAGUCUGCAACUCGACUCCAUGAAGUCGGAAUCGCUAGUAAUCGUGGAUCAGAAUGCCACGGUGAAUACGUUCCCGGGCCUUGUACACACCGCCCGUCACACCAUGGGAGUGGGUUGCAAAAGAAGUAGGUAGCUUAACCUUCGGGAGGGCGCUUACCACUUUGUGAUUCAUGACUGGGGUGAAGUCGUAACAAGGUAACCGUAGGGGAACCUGCGGUUGGAUCACCUCCUUACCU